CCGCCCUUGAAUCCCCCAACGCUCUCACGGCUUCCAGGAACCUUAGCAUCCAUCUACCUUGUUCCACCGUGUUUUCACCGAAGUCCAUGUUUUCUCAGGCCAUAGAAAGCUUAUACCUACCUCAUAUGGCUCCUGCAGGCCUGUUAUUCGAAGGUUUAAAGCCAGACCUCGAGGUUCUUCACUCAGACCCUCACUGAUUCGAGGUUCCGGCUAUCUCUGGCCUUGCUCCGGUGGUUCUUGGUCUUUUAGUGUCUGAUUAUGACAUUAUCUCACUUAGAUUGGAUAUUUUUAAGCUUUUCUCAUCUCUAGGGUUCCUCUGAAACCCUAACUAUAGAGGUUCUUUCCGAUUAUUUUUAGAUCUAUUACAUGUUUGCACUAUGCUUAAGUUUCUUAAAUGUUUUCUCCGAUUUUUCUUUUAAACAUCACUUCUUUUCGAUUAGGGUUUCUGGAAGGCUCUUAAAAAAAGUUCC
rnacentral:lncRNA from 1 species